AACGAACGCUGGCGGCAGGCUUAACACAUGCAAGUCGAGCGCCCCGCAAGGGGAGCGGCAGACGGGUGAGUAACGCGUGGGAAUCUACCCAUCUCUACGGAAUAACGCAUGGAAACGUGUGCUAAUACCGUAUACGUCCUUCGGGAGAAAGAUUUAUCGGAGAUGGAUGGGCCCGCGUUGGAUUAGCUAGUUGGUGGGGUAAAGGCCUACCAAGGCGACGAUCCAUAGCUGGUCUGAGAGGAUGAUCAGCCACACUGGGACUGAGACACGGCCCAGGCUCCUACGGGAGGCAGCAGUGGGGAAUAUUGGACGAUGGGCGCAAGCCUGAUCCAGCCAUGCCGCGUGAGUGAUGAAGGCCCUAGGGUUGUAAAGCUCUUUCACCGGUGAAGAUAAUGACGGUAACCGGAGAAGAAGCCCCGGCUAACUUCGUGCCAGCCGCCGCGGUAACAC
rnacentral:rRNA from 1 species